rnacentral:rRNA from 1 species
UACGAAGGGGGCUAGCGUUGCUCGGAUUGACUGGGCGUAAAGGGUGCGUAGGCGGGUCUUUAAGUCAGGGGUGAAAUCCUGGAGCUCAACUCCAGAACUGCCUUUGAUACUGAGGAUCUUGAGUUCGGGAGAGGUGAGUGGAACUGCGAGUGUAGAGGUGAAAUUCGUAGAUAUUCGCAAGAACACCAGUGGCGAAGGCGGCUCACUGGCCCGAUACUGACGCUGAGGCACGAAAGCCUGGGGAGCAAACAGG